rnacentral:tRNA from 1 species
GCCUGGGUGGCUCAGUCAGUUAAGCAUCUGACUCUUGGUCAUGAUCUCACAGUUCGUGGGUUCAAGCCCCAUAUCAGGCU